rnacentral:lncRNA from 1 species
AAGUGAUUGGCUUCUAAAUCUCAAAUUUCUCUUUUAUAUAAAGAAUUCCUAAUGCUCAAGGUGAAACACUAAGUGAAGUUGUAGCUAAAGUGAACAAGAGUGGAAUGAGAGCUUUUGUGCUAUGAAGGAAAAUUAGCCCUAUCAUUAUGAAAUCAUUCUACAAAAUCUGUAGGAUAAAACAUGAUAGAAGUGCUUGAAGAGACAGAAUAAUGGAAUAAAAUACAAUGUCCAAAAUAGACACAAAUGCAUAAGGAAAUUUAGAAGAUGAUCAUGGCACCAUAUCAAGGCAUGAGGCAGAGGGACAGUUCACUGAAUGUUGAUGGUGAAAGCUGAAUAUCCUAUGGAAAAAAAGUGAAAAUAGGUCCAGACCUCAUAUGAUCCAUAAGAAUAAACCUCAAACACAUCAUAGAUAAAAAUGUAAAAACUAUUUGAUGGUUUUGUUCUUGAUUUGGUUAAGCUGGGGCUAUACUUUGUAAAUCAUCUUUUAAAAGUAGGUUCAGGUUAGAAUAGGCCAAAAGAUGAACUUGUGAAACUCUGGGAGGUAAGGUAAAGUAGUAGCUACUCUGCUCCAAGUCUCCACAAUCUAUUAUGAUGGGGGAUGGGUAGACAGUGCCUGGUAAGUUUCAGCUAGUUUUUGUCCUCUAUUCUCUUGCAGGCCAAUAGCAGUCCCAGGUCCAUCAACAGAUGUCCAGUAGCAAUUACAGGCAGGUAACAUCUACCCCCACAGGCCCCUUCCACAAAUUCCCCCUUCAGAAUCCUACUUUGGGCACAGCUUCUUCUGCAGGCUCCAGCUUGCUCACCUGUGUUGGUGUUUCAGGACAGAAGCUCCAACAAACCAACUUCAACUAAGGAAUAUUCUACAAAAUAAAUGGCCUGUACUCUGUGUUUAGGGGCAAAAGUAAGAAGAGAACAUCCAGCACAACACGGCCUUCAGAAACAAGCUAAUGGAACAAUUUGGUGUCAAUUUCACAGCUCAGUGAAGUGAAAGUGAUCUAACUGGCCAUCGACACACACCUAGAAGGAGGUCUAAGUGAGUGCCCAGCCUUGAUGUUACUGUGUCAUGCCUACAAGCAAGACAAGUUCAAGUGGAGACAUUAUGUAUUAGGAGAGAAAGUAGUUAUCAUUCAAAUGCCCUCUGAGCUGGCUAGAAUAGAAUGUGCAGAGAGAAAGCAGAGCCAGCCCUUCAUGUUUACACUCUGGAAAGUUGUUUUUUAGAAAUCAUGCUUAUAUUCACAAGUAGCAGGAAAUAGGAGCUUCCCUUUGGGAGUUUGAUAAUGUUUAGAAGCAGAAAUUUUCCUCAACAGAUGCAUAAAAACUGAAUAACUAUUUUAACAGUUUUCCAUGCUUUCUGACAAAGAAAAAAAA